UUGGUGGUUGUUGUUCUGAAGAGCAAAGAGAAAGAUAGAAAAACGGCUGGCAUUCAGCCUAAAGAGAAAUCAUUGAAACAAAUUAAUCCUAUGCUGUUUAAAUUGACAUGGUAAUCCAUCAUCAGAGAAGGCAAACUCUGAAAGCAAUCUAGAAUCUGCCCUGCUCUUUCACUGGCCCUGGAGGCACAAAGACAGAUAGUAAAGGAAGGAGGGGGGAAAUCAUAAAAGUUAGGAAUGCCUGAGAAAAUAAUAAAAUUGGUGGUAUCAGCUCUCACUGUCCUGCCUCUGCAAACCUCCUUUGGAAAGGAGAGGUUAACUCUCAACAGUUGCUUUCCCAACUUUCCCCCUAAGUGGUAGGUCUCUGGAGCUGAGCUCUAAAAGUCUGCCUCCUUCUCUAGGCUGCCAGGCUGCUCACCUCAUUCUAACCAUUGCCUGCCGCGUUUAAAAAGUUGACCAGCCAGGAGCUUGGCAGGACCCACAGAAACAGUUCAGUUUGCGCAGAAACUUUCCCAACAUGGGGAGGAGACAUUUUACAGAACAUACCUUUCUCAUUACUGCCUGGACAUACCAACUUGAACACAAAAAGUCCAUCUCCAUGGAGUGUGCUGCGGGUGAUGGAUGAGACUGUUGUCUCUCUGAAUGGAAACCUGCUUUCAUAGGAAGGGUGGAGGUGGGAGAGGACCAGUGAAGGGCAGAGCUCUAAAAUUCUGGCAACUACAGUGAAUAUACCCUUUCCUCCUUUCUUCCUUCUUCCUUUACUCCCUCCCUCCCUCGCUUCCUUUUUGCUACGUCUCCUUUUGGUAGAUUAGUGUAGUUAACCUUCGUUCCGGCCAAGACCAAGAAGGGUUAAUGGAGACCCGGCUCCUGACACCCUCCAGGUCAGCUUGGCUUGCGAACUUCCAGCGCAGGAAUUAGAGGAUUACCGAGGAAGGAAUGCGAGGUACCCGAUAGCCUCACACCUGAACACGGUCGCUUCAAUCCACUGGGAUUCAUUUAAAAAAAUAAAUAAAUUCUC